rnacentral:rRNA from 1 species
UACGAAGGUCCCGAGCGUUGUUCGGAAUCACUGGGCGUAAAGGGAGCGUAGGCGGCGCGGUAAGUCAGAUGUGAAAUCCCGGGGCUCAACCCCGGAACUGCAUCCGAUACUGCCGUGCUAGAGUAAUGGAGGGGUAGCUGGAAUUCUCGGUGUAGCAGUGAAAUGCGUAGAUAUCGAGAGGAACACUCGUGGCGAAAGCGAGCUACUGGACAUUUACUGACGCUGAGGCUCGAAGGCUAGGGGAGCAAAAGGG